GACGAACGCUGGCGGCGUGCUUAACACAUGCAAGUCGAACGAUGAGGCGCCUGCCUUUUUGGUGGGUGGGGAGGAGUGGCGGACUGGGGAGUAACACGUGAGUAACCUGCCCCCUUCGUGUGGAUAACCGCAAGCAAGAGUGGCUAAUACGGGAGAUUCUGGGUCGGUCGCAUGAUUAGUCGGGGAAAGUUAUUGUUUCUGUGGGGGAUGGGCUCGCGGCCUAUCAGCUUGUUGGUGGGGUGAUGGCCUACCAAGGCGGUGACGUGUAGCCGGCCUGAGAGGGUAGACGGAAACGGAAGGGCGGAGAGCUGGAGAAUGCUGCUGGGGGAGGCAGCAGUGUGGAGUAGCGCACGCGCGGCACAAGGAUGGAGCAGAGGCGCCGGAGUCAAGAUGGUGUCCUUCGGGUUGUGAACCUCUUUUGCCAGUGAAGCAGUCUUGCCGGGUUUGUGGGUGGGUUGACGGUAGCUGGAAAGAAAGCGCCGGCUAACUACGUG
rnacentral:rRNA from 1 species